UUGCUUCAGCAGCACAUAUACUAAAAUUGGAACGAUCUGGAGAAGAUUAGCAUGACCUCUGCGCAAGGAUGACACACAAAUUUGUGAAACAUUCCAUAUUUAA